ACUCUAUGACCCUGGACCCUCGGGGGACCUGAACUUGAUGCGAUGGGAGGCUGUGCGGGCUCGCGGCGGCGCUUUUCGGAUUCCGAGGGGGAGGAGACCGUCCCGGAGCCACGGCUCCCUCUGUUGGACCAUCAGGGCGCGCAUUGGAAGAACGCGGUGGGCUUCUGGCUGCUGGGCCUUUGCAACAACUUCUCUUAUGUGGUGAUGCUGAGUGCUGCCCACGACAUCCUUAGCCACGAGAGGACAUCGGGAAACCAGAGCCAUGUGGACCCAGGCCCAACGCCGAUCCCCCACAACAGCUCAUCACGAUUUGACUGCAACUCUGUCUCUACGGCUGCUGUGCUCCUGGCGGACAUCCUCCCCACACUCAUCAUCAAAUUGUUGGCUCCUCUUGGCCUUCACCUGCUGCCCUACAGCCCCCGGGUUCUCGUCAGUGGGAUUUGUGCUGCUGGAAGCUUCGUCCUGGUUGCCUUUUCUCAUUCCGUGGGGACCAGCCUGUGUGGUGUGGUCUUCGCUAGCAUCUCAUCAGGCCUUGGGGAGGUCACCUUCCUCUCCCUCACUGCCUUCUACCCCAGGGCCGUGAUCUCCUGGUGGUCCUCAGGGACUGGGGGAGCUGGGCUGCUGGGGGCCCUGUCCUACCUGGGCCUCACCCAGGCUGGCCUCUCCCCUCAGCAGACCCUGCUGUCCAUGCUGGGUAUCCCUGCCCUGCUGCUGGCCAGCUAUUUCUUGUUGCUCACAUCUCCUGAGGCCCAGGACCCUGGAGGGGAAGAAGAGGCAGAGAGUGCAGCCCGGCAGCCCCUCGUAGGAACCGAGGCCCCGGAGUCGAAGCCAGGCUCCAGCUCCAGCCUCUCCCUUCGGGAAAGGUGGACAGUGUUCAAGGUUCGGAUGUUGGCUGGGGUGUGUCCCUGUGGGGGUUGCUCAUCUCCGGGCCCCCUGCUUAUAUCUUCCGCCUUUUCCAGGGUCUGCUGUGGUACAUUGUUCCCUUGGUGGUAGUUUACUUCGCCGAGUAUUUCAUUAACCAGGGACUUUUUGAACUCCUCUUUUUCCGGAACACUUCCCUGAGUCAUGCUCAGCAAUACCGCUGGUACCAGAUGCUGUACCAGGCUGGUGUCUUUGCCUCCCGCUCUUCUCUCCGCUGCUGUCGCAUCCGUUUCACCUGGGCCCUGGCCCUGCUGCAGUGCCUCAACCUGGCGUUCCUGCUGGCGGAUGUGUGGUUCGGCUUUCUGCCAAGCAUCUACCUCGUCUUCCUGAUCAUUCUGUAUGAGGGGCUCCUGGGAGGCGCAGCCUACGUGAACACCUUCCACAACAUCGCCCUGGAGACCAGUGAUGAGCACCGGGAGUUUGCAAUGGCGGCCACCUGCAUCUCUGACACGCUGGGGAUCUCCCUGUCGGGGCUCCUGGCUUUGCCUCUGCACGACUUCCUCUGCCAGCUCUCCUGAUACUCGGGAUCCUUGGGACGCAGGUCACAUUCACCUGUGGGCAGAGGGACAG
rnacentral:sRNA from 1 species